rnacentral:rRNA from 1 species
CACGUAGUUAGCCGGGGCUUCUUAGUCAGGUACCGUCAUUUUCUUCCCUGCUGAUAGAGCUUUACAUACCGAGAUACUUCUUCACUCACGCGGCGUCGCUGCAUCAGGGUUUCCCCCAUUGUGCAAUAUUCCCCACUGCUGCCUCCCGUAGGAGUUUGGGCCGUCGUCUCAGUCCCAAUGUGGCCGUCCGCCCUCUCAGGCCGGCUACCGAUCGUCGCUUUGGUGGGCCGUUACCCCGCCAACUGGCUAAUCGGACGCGGAUCCAUCGUAUGCCGAUAAAUCUUUUCACACCGUACCAUGCGGUACUGUGCGCUUAUGCGGUAUUAGCAGCUGUUUCCAACUGUUAUCCCCCUGCAUACGGCAGGUUAUCCACGCGUUACUCACCCGUCCGCCACUAACUUAACAAUCAACUAGUUCAUGUUAAGCCCGUUCGACUUGCAUGUGUUAGGCACGCCGCCAGCUUCAUCCUGAGCCAGGAUACAAAACUCCUA